AUGUUCGAAGUGAAAUAUUUCCUCGUAAUCGGUAGUAAGCUACCAGAAUACCUAAACCAAUAGCACUUUCA